rnacentral:lncRNA from 1 species
GCUCCAUUCCUACCGUUACAACCACAUGAACUCCUCCUGAGGGUACAGACCCUCCCUGAAGGGGCCUGAGCCGCCUUCCCGGGGCUGUUCCCUGGGGGGAGAGCUUGGGACUGGGGGUGGGCUGGAGUUUGGGGUCUGCCGGGGAGUGACGCUGUGUUUGUUCCCUCUGUCCCCCUCAGAUUCCUGCUCUGGGGCAGGAAGGUGUCCUGCAGGAGCUGGUGCUCGGAGAGGGGGAGCCCCCAGAGCCUGGGGUCAGCGAGGAGCAGCGCCAGGCCCGGGAGGAGUGGGAGGCUCUGGAAGAGAUCCAGUCAGGUACUGGGGCUAACAGGGAAGGGGGAAAGGAGCCGCGGGCGGGUGGGGGUGAAGCUGGGGGGGGUUAUCUGGGAUGGAGGGGCAGGGGAGAGGCCGGCCGGUUCCCUUUGCCCCUUGUUCCCCAUGGCUUCGUUCUCC